UUGGAGGGCAAGUCUGGUGCCAGCAGCCGCGGUAAUUCCAGCUCCAAUAGCGUAUAUUAAAGUUGUUGCAGUUAAAAAGCUCGUAGUUGAAUUUCGGGGUUCUACCGUCGGUCGGGCUACCAAGUCUGUACUGGUGUGUAGAACUUCUACCUUCUGGGGAACCAUCAUGUUAUUAAUUUAGCGUGGUAGGAAACCAGGACCUUUACCUUGAAAAAGUUAGUGUGUUCAAAGCAGGCUUAUGUCUGAAUACAUUAGCGUGGAAUAAUAGAAUAGGACGGUGGUCCUGUUUUGUCGGUUUCUGAAUCACCGUAAUGAUUAAUAGGGAUAGUUGGGGGCAUUAGUAUUCAAUUGUCAGAGGUGAAAUUCUUGGAUUUAUUGAAGACUAACUUCUGCGAAAGCAUUUGCCAGGGAUGUUUUCAUUAAUCAAGAACGAAAGUUAGGGGAUCGAAGACGAUCAGAUACCGUCGUAGUCUUAACCAUAAACUAUGCCGACUAGGGAUCGGACGAUGUUGAUUUUUUAAUGACUCGUUCGGCGCCUUACGGGAAAC
rnacentral:rRNA from 1 species